rnacentral:rRNA from 1 species
AUUGAACGCUGGCGGCAGGCCUAACACAUGCAAGUCGAACGAGUGGCGGACGGGUUAGUAAUGUCUGGGCAACUGCCUGAUGGAGGGGGGUCACUACUGGAAACGGUAGCUACUACCGCAUACCAUCGGAUGUGCCCAGAUGGGAUUAGGUAGUAGGGGGGGUAAAGGCUCACCAAGGCGACGAUCCGUAGCUGGUCUGAGAGGAUGACCAGCCACACUGGAACUGAGACACGGUCCAGACUCCUACGGGAGGCAGCAGUGGGGAAUAUUGCACAAUGGGCGCAAGCCUGAUGCAGCCAUGCCGCGUGUAUGAAGAAGGCCUUCGGAUUGUAAAGUACUUUCAGCGGGGAGGCGUUACCCGCAGAAGAAGCACCGGCUAACUCCGUGCCAGCAGCCGCGGUAAUUC